ACCCAGAUCCCUUUAUUCCAGAGCACAUAACUUAAAGUCACACUUUCCUGAGAUCAGAGCAGAGGAUGGCAGAGAACCAAAGUCACGAGUGUGUGAAACAACGGAGAGGAGCAGCGCUGUGCAGGCUGGAGCUCAAGACACUUGCGUGAGCGCCUAGGGGAGGCAACCAUCUCAGUAAUGAUGCUAAUUGGAUCCAACUGGGGAACUCCAGAAAGUCUCAGUAACAAAUUUGCAAUGGUUCUUGGCCUUUUAAUAUGGAUUCACAAAAGAUAAUGAGGCUAUCCUGUCAUUUCUACUCUAUGGAUAAGGAAAGUGACAUUCAGACAGACCAUGGGAUCUACCCACUCCCUUAUAAAGAACCGGAUGACCAACGUUAGCGACAGGACCUCCCGUUUGGCAUUUUGUUUUCAGAUGUGCCUAGAAGAAGGAGACAACAUCUGCUUGGACUGUUGAAGCCUGGGUUCUGCUUGAGUUGUCAAGAUAUCACCUAAAUCCUAUCCACAUUUUGUGCACCAGGUUUGUGGGCGCCUACCACCAUUCAUUCAUUGCAGUGGCUCAGAGAGGAUGAAAAGAGGACUCUUUGUGGCCAAUGAAGAUCCCCGACAGAGCUCAGCUGACCAGAGUGGACUGGCUUCUACCCUAAAUACACAUCAGGAGAUUUCCCACUCUGCCCUUGCUCCACUUUGUACAACACCACAUAGCCCGAGAGUGGCAGAGCUGCCGUGGGAACCCAAAUGCCGUCUGACUACAAAGCCUUACUCUCAACCACCACUCUGCUGCCUCCUAUUGUUUCCUGAAAUCUUCAGUAUAGUCAUUAUUAUGAAGUAAAAAAAGAAAAUGUAAAGGAAGGAAGGAAGGUAGAGGGAGCCCUUCUAUCUCCAUUAUUUGUUUCCAUGAAGAACUUCCACUCCAUUUUCAGGGGAGUGCUAUCGGUGUAACACACUUUCUGGCCCUCUCUCUCCCAUUCCUAUCACUCAUUCUCCCCAAGGAAGACGCGAUAUGUGGAUGCUAAGAUUGGAAGAAACCACUCGUACGUUCGAUGGUGUGUUGGUAAACGUUUAGCAGCUGGCUUUGGGGCAAAGAGAAAGCCCUGAAUUGUAGCAUGUGUCAAUCUCCAUGGUGUAAAAACAUUUCUACCAUAGCUGCUUCCAAGUAUGUAAAUUGUACACCUCAAUAAAGCCAAUUUAAAAAGUAAAGUCAACCAGUUUGUAGAACUCUUGAGACUUUAACAUUCAUUCCAGCAAGCUGUUACCUGCUGGAUCCAGCAACACACAACCUGUAACAUGGUGAGCUGGGUCUCAGCUCUCCACUCUUCACAGACUCCAGCGUUCUCUCCCCUUCGCAGGGUUUCUCAUCCAUCCUUCCAUUGCUUCUGCUGCUGCCCUGAAGGCAUCACCGCUCUCCCCUCUCCUCCCGGGGCGCCUAACUCUCUUAACAGUUUAGGACUUUGAGGAGUUUUGCCUUUCACAAAAACAAAGAAAGAAAGGGGGGAAAAGGUUGUGUCUCAGCAGCUUUCGCUGUCUACCCUGCAGCACAAAUUUCACCUGAUGGAGGAACAUCAGACCCGCUGUGAAGAGGAGAAAGGGAAAUUCAAAUAUGAAACGAGCUCUACUCUCCCUUACUCUGUCCUUCACAAAAGAAUGGGGCAGAACAUUCUUUAGUCUAUACCUCUGUCCCACAUGAGUUGCCAAAGACCGCAGUGCCUGGUGGGUGACAUCUCUCCAGGCUUUUGAAGACAUCUGAGCCUGGAUUUUUUAGCACAUUCCUGAUCUCCCUACUGGGAGGCUCUUCUCCUUCAAGGUCUACCUUCUGACAAGCUCUAGCUCUUUCCCACCUCCGGUGCCUGGGUGGGCUGGGGGGUGGGGUCAGGGUGGAGAUGUGAGCGCAUGGUGAUUGGCAGCCGCACUAGAACCCCAUGGAGUGGAGAAGUGACCUUCUCCAAAGGAGGGGAGCCUACAGUUUCCGAAAGGGAGGAAGAAUGCGGUGAGGAACAAAUGCAUCCAUGCAGGAUUUCAGAUAUAAACUACUCUGUAGAGUACAAGCACCUACUCCCGGCAACCGACGCCGGAGGAAGCGUAAGAGUAUAAGAGACUGAGGCUUUGGCGAAGGCACAUGACCGAAACCUCACAUAAUACUCCACCUGCCCCAGACCAGCCAGCCUGCUGUCCACAGUGUGCCCAUCAGUGUAUCAAACCUCAGCGCUUUAUUUCCUGGGAUCCCGGCCGGGCUCCCAUUAACCUCCUGUGUUUUCCCCACAGCUCCUAUACAUGGGAGAGGGCCUGCGUUGGGCCAGAUCCCAGAGCUGGGACCUAACUUGUGAUGGGAUGCCCUGGGAGGCAAGCAUGCUUCAGCAUGUAACCGAUCAAUGGCCAGACACCCAGGUCCGGAGGUGUCUGAGUCAGUCAGCAGGACGUUGGGCAGGUGUAGGUUCAGAACCUCUGCAGUUUUUCCCUUGGCUUUCCCGGGGCUUGUCCACAGCGCUCCCUGCUGCCCAUUCUUGGUUAACCUUGUGUCUUGUGAAUCCCUCAUCAGAUCUGUUCAUGAAGCCUAAUGCAAGGUCCUCCCUCCAGGGUGACACAGUGAAGUCAAGUAACAGAUGUGGAGAUGCUUUGGAGAGCUUGAAACAGAAGACUACAUAAUGGCAAUGGGCCAAUAUCAUAAAGCCAAGAUUGAAGAAGACAGGACUAAAUGCCUCCCUCAUCUGCAAAAGUUGCCUUAUCUUUCAGUAUCAUCCUGUUUCAGUGGACAGAAAUCAAUCCAUCAUAUAUUUGAGCCCUGCUCUUAUAAUCAGUUAAAUUUUGCCUAAAAUAAG